rnacentral:rRNA from 1 species
GGGUUGUGAGGUUAAGCGACUAAGCGUACACGGUGGAUGCCCUGGCAGUCAGAGGCGAUGAAGGACGUGCUAAUCUGCGAUAAGCGUCGGUAAGGUGAUAUGAACCAUUAUAACCGGCGAUUUCCGAAUGGGGAAACCCAGUGUGAUUCGUCACACUAUCAUUAACUGAAUCCAUAGGUUAAUGAGGCGAACCGGGGGAACUGAAACAUCUAAGUACCCCGAGGAAAAGAAAUCAACCGAGAUUCCCCCAGUAGCGGCGAGCGAACGGGGAGCAGCCCAGAGCCUGAAUCAGUGUGUGUGUUAGUGGAAGCGUCUGGAAAGGCGUGCGAUACAGGGUGACAGCCCCGUACACAAAAAUGCACAUAUUGUGAGCUCGAUGAGUAGGGCGGGACACGUGGUAUCCUGUCUGAAUAUGGGGGGACCAUCCUCCAAGGCUAAAUACUCCUGACUGACCGAUAGUGAACCAGUACCGUGAGGGAAAGGCGAAAAGAACCCCGGCGAGGGGAGUGAAAAAGAACCUGAAACCGUGUACGUACAAGCAGUGGGAGCACGCUUAGGCGUGUGACUGCGUACCUUUUGUAUAAUGGGUCAGCGACUUAUAUUCUGUAGCAAGGUUAACCGAAUAGGGGAGCCGAAGGGAAACCGAGUCUUAACUGGGCGUUAAGUUGCAGGGUAUAGACCCGAAACCCGGUGAUCUAGCCAUGGGCAGGUUGAAGGUUGGGUAACACUAACUGGAGGACCGAACCGACUAAUGUUGAAAAAUUAGCGGAUGACUUGUGGCUGGGGGUGAAAGGCCAAUCAAACCGGGAGAUAGCUGGUUCUCCCCGAAAGCUAUUUAGGUAGCGCCUCGUGAAUUCAUCUCCGGGGGUAGAGCACUGUUUCGGCAAGGGGGUCAUCCCGACUUACCAACCCGAUGCAAACUGCGAAUACCGGAGAAUGUUAUCACGGGAGACACACGGCGGGUGCUAACGUCCGUCGUGAAGAGGGAAACAACCCAGACCGCCAGCUAAGGUCCCAAAGUCAUGGUUAAGUGGGAAACGAUGUGGGAAGGCCCAGACAGCCAGGAUGUUGGCUUAGAAGCAGCCAUCAUUUAAAGAAAGCGUAAUAGCUCACUGGUCGAGUCGGCCUGCGCGGAAGAUGUAACGGGGCUAAACCAUGCACCGAAGCUGCGGCAGCGACGCUGAUGCGUUGUUGGGUAGGGGAGCGUUCUGUAAGCCUGUGAAGGUGUGCUGUGAGGUAUGCUGGAGGUAUCAGAAGUGCGAAUGCUGACAUAAGUAACGAUAAAGCGGGUGAAAAGCCCGCUCGCCGGAAGACCAAGGGUUCCUGUCCAACGUUAAUCGGGGCAGGGUGAGUCGACCCCUAAGGCGAGGCCGAAAGGCGUAGUCGAUGGGAAACAGGUUAAUAUUCCUGUACUUGGUGUUACUGCGAAGGGGGGACGGAGAAGGCUAUGUUGGCCGGGCGACGGUUGUCCCGGUUUAAGCGUGUAGGCUGGUUUUCCAGGCAAAUCCGGAAAACUAAGGCUGAGGCGUGAUGACGAGGCACUACGGUGCUGAAGCAACAAAUGCCCUGCUUCCAGGAAAAGCCUCUAAGCAUCAGGUAACAUCAAAUCGUACCCCAAACCGACACAGGUGGUCAGGUAGAGAAUACCAAGGCGCUUGAGAGAACUCGGGUGAAGGAACUAGGCAAAAUGGUGCCGUAACUUCGGGAGAAGGCACGCUGAUAUGUAGGUGAAGUCCCUCGCGGAUGGAGCUGAAAUCAGUCGAAGAUACCAGCUGGCUGCAACUGUUUAUUAAAAACACAGCACUGUGCAAACACGAAAGUGGACGUAUACGGUGUGACGCCUGCCCGGUGCCGGAAGGUUAAUUGAUGGGGU